GUCACCAUUAAGAAGCACUUCUUUUGAAGAUUACGAUGAAGAAAACAAGAACGUAACUGAGGGGUC
rnacentral:sRNA from 1 species